GAAGAUAAAAAUCAGGAAAUCGUUCCAAAAAAGGGACAAAGCUGUUUUUUGUUUUUUUUAAAUGAGGAAACAGCUAAAUUGAGGGCAUUUUUUACCCCCUGGCCUCAUGUUUCCAUGUAUACUUCCUGCUAGGGAACUCUCCAGGCCUUUCUCAGACAUGCCCACCACACCUCCCCAGGAGAGGAAGCUUGCCUGUGGGCUCUCUUUGGUUUUCUCUCUUCUCAGCCAGUGAUCUGUGUUCUGCCAGGUGACAUUGAGCCCGCCCCUGCAGAGAAAACCUGCUUUGCCCAGCUCUGCCUGUGACUAGGAAGGAGAGCCUCUUGGCUUUUGUGGGAGAAAGAUGGGCCACUCCUGCCAAGCAAGAUCAACAAACACCUCCAAGGCCAAGGCAUCUCUGCCAGCAUCACCCUGCAGAUGACUCAGUAGCCUGGCAGCUUGACAACUGGCCUCAGCGAACCCUCGAGCUAUUGCCUUCGGGAUCUGCCUGAGAGCACCUGAGCAGAGGCUGAGGAGGCCAGUGUGCUGGGAGGCCAGCGGGACCCAGCAGCCUUCGCCCACGUUGGAAUCUCCCCCUGUUUCCCAAAGUCGGUGCUGGAGGCGGAGGUGGGGGUGCCCUUGUCACCAGCUCCGUCCAGAAAGCGUGAUGAAGGGCAUCUGCCAGGCCUCGGGGUGAGGGUAAGGGGUGGGUGGAGGUGGGGAUCCGUGGCCCACUCCCUGCUCUACCACCCUCGGCCUCCACUAGGGACCCUCUGUUCCCCCACCCCCAUCUGGAGAGUACCCUCCGUCCUCUCCAGGCCCAGGCUCGACUCAGACUUGGUCUUGGGCCUCCUCCUGGGCUGGUUCUGAAUGUAAACCGCCAUCCGGGUCUUCAACUGGUCAGCAGGUGGCGGUGGGUGAGUUCUACACUUCCUGGUUCCAUCUUGGAUUCAUCUCCCAGGUUGCUCCCCACGCCUUCACACCACACAGGCCUCUGGGGUCUGUCCACUGACGCUCCCAGUCCAGCCCCCUGCCUCGAGCCCCCGUUCAGGGCCACCUGGCUGCCUGUGACCCUUCUAGGCAAUAGCUUUUCUUCUAAUUAACUUUUUUUUUUUUCUUUUUGAGAAAAAAAUAAAACCUUUAUUGGACUCUGU